UUAUAACCUCGACGGAAACCCUCCCAAACCGAGAAACCCUCACCUAAACCCAGAAACCCUCGCCCAACAAACCCAUGCGAGUCUCGAUAUCGCCCAUACUAGAAUCGCCCAAACCCAGUAGCUGAUCAAACGGUUAAAGGUAUACUUUUUUGGGAAAAAAAUAGGAAUAUUCUAAAAAGGGAAAAAUAUUACAACAAUACCGUGGGCCGGCCCAAUGAACAUUUGUACAGCCCAAAAGGAAAAUAUUACAAAAAUACCACUUGCCCUUACCUUCAGCCGCACGUCACAAACGGAGAGGAUGAAUGAAGCUCCAUCGAUGCAGUCGGCCACGCAACCAUAAUGAAACCAGAUCGAACGUAAAACAGCUGUAAAUCCCGUCGAAUUUCAAUAGGAAACGAUCAAAUCCAACGAUCUAAACAUAAAUUUUUUAAAAAAAAGAGCAGGACAACCGUGGAGAAACUGAAAUUCAACAUUUGAUUUCGGUUUUUAUAGUGCAAUAUCACUCAAACGAUCGUCGAAAAUUCAGAUUGAAGCAAUGUAAAUCUGUAUUGAACAGAUCUGGAGCUCCCCCUCAAAUCCAAAAAAAAGUUGCAUUAUCGUUUGAAAAUGGUUUAGAAAUCAUGAAGAAGUGUUAUAUGACAAGUACCAAGAGCUAGCAUAUAUACAAGGAAUUUAUUGUGGAAAAGAUAGAGGACAGAACAGUUUGAGAAAUGGUUAGUUUCCCAAAAUUUAAAUGAAGUUUCUUAAUAGUUUUAUUCUCGUUUCUUUGUAGUUUAUUAACAACCAAAAAAAUGGCAAAAUCAGGAAUCAGGACAGGAAAUACAAUGCUUGAACAAAGGAACAGAGAUAGAAGUAAGUUUGUACUCUAUUUCAUAACAUAAUAAAACCAGUUUUAAAAUUCGUUGCCUCGGACUAAUAACCAUUGCAAAAACACAGGAAAGGAAAGACAUUCCAUUCCUAGUCUUCUACAAUGGAAAAUUCGAUGAUCGAAUGAAUUAUGAAAAUUAUGAAGCCAGUGGACACUACAUUUCUGCCAAUUGUAACUAUGAAGAUUUGCAACAGAAACUCAAAGAUGCCCUGGAAUGCAACCAAGA